UCCAGACUCCUACGGGAGGCAGCAGUGAGGAAUAUUGGUCAAUGGCCGAGAGGCUGAACCAGCCAAGUCGCGUGAGGGAAGAAUGUCCUAAGGAUUAUAAACCUCUUUUGUCGGGGAGCAAAAAGGCUCUGCGGAGUCGUAUUGAGAGUACCCGAAGAAAAAGCAUCGGCUAACUCCGUGCCAGCAGCCGCGGUAAUACGGAGGAUGCGAGCGUUAUCCGGAUUUAUUGGGUUUAAAGGGUGCGUAGGCGGCCUUUUAAGUCAGCGGUGAAAGUCUGUGGCUCAACCAUAGAAUUGCCGUUGAAACUGGGGGGCUUGAGUAUGGUUGAGGCAGGCGGAAUGCGUGGUGUAGCGGUGAAAUGCAUAGAUAUCACGCAGAACUCCGAUUGCGAAGGCAGCAUACCGGCGCCCGACUGACGCUGAAGCACGAAAGCGUGGGUAUCGAACAGGAUUAGAUACCCGCGUA
rnacentral:rRNA from 1 species